UGUAUCAAUGAUGAUUCCUUGGCUCCCUCUUCUGAACACCAUGAGGAGAUUGCCAUUGUCACCAAAUUCUUGUCUGAGACAUG